GGUGACGUCACGGUUCCCACACAACAGAGAGAUGCGCACUGAGUUAUAAGACGAGGCGGUUGUUCAGUGCGGUAAAAAAUUUUUUUAAAGAAAAGCAAUAAGUAAUAAAGAUCCUGCCGAAUAGGUUUUUUUAAAGAGGAGUUGGACAUUCUGUUGAAAAGGCAUAUCAUUUCUCAUAAGGUGUCUCUGUUGUAUAGCAGAUGAAUUUUGAGCAGCCUCCCCGUACCAGGCCCCUGGUUACCCCCAGCAGGGUUACCCCCAGCAGGGUUACCCCCAGCAGGGAUACCCCCAGCAGGGAUACCCUCCCCAGGGUUACCCCGUAAACAUGGAGCAACCUGGAGGAUUCCCUCCUCAAAACCCAGGCUACCCUGCUGGCCCCGGGGGACCGCCUGGACCCUACCCCGGCCAGGGACAAGCAGGCCCCUACCAGGAGGGCUACCCUGGACAGCCCCAGUUUGGAUGGCAAGGAGGACCACCCCCAGGACCCAUGUAUGGAGAGGCACCUAAAAACACAGUGUACGUGGUGGAGGAGAGAAGGAGAGAUGAUUCAGGAGACACGUGUCUGACUGCCUGUUGGACGGCUCUCUGCUGCUGCUGCUUGUGGGACAUGCUCACAUAACCUCUGACCCUUGACAUUUACCCUUAUCUGCUUUGACCCUUACCCUUUACCUCCUAACCCUUAACCCAUAGUUCCUCUCAUCUGUAAUAGAAAACAAGUACUGGGAGAAAUAGAACACUAUGAGUAUCUGGGAAACCAAGCCUAAUAUUUAUAGCGGACUUUGAAAAGCCCUUUGAUAAAGUACCACCAGAAUUUAUAUGUAAAUGCCUGGACCAUUUUAAUUUUGGAGAGUCUCUUAUAAGAUGGCUUAAAGUUAUGUAUAGUAACCCCAGGUGUAAAAUAGCAAAUAAUGGCUACUUCUCGGGAAGUAUUAAACUGUCAAGAGGAGUAAAACAAGGUUGUCCACUAUCGGCAUAUCUAUUUAUUAUGGCCAUCAAAAUGUUAUCUGUUCAAAUCAGAUCCAACAAUAACAUCAAGGGUCUAGAAACACAGGGCUUAAAAACAAAGGUGUCGUUGCACGCUGAUCAUUCAUGUUUUCUUUUAAAUAUGCAAUUUGGAUCCCUGCACAGCCUCCUAGAGGAUGUAGAACCUUUUUCUAACCUCUGGAUUAAAACCAGAAUGAUGAUAAAUGCACCAUAUUACUAUUAGUAUUGGAUCACUAAAAAAGACAACUUUUACAUUACCGUGUAGUUUACCAAUAAAAUGGUCUGACGAUGAUGUAGUGGACAUACUUGGUAUACAUAUCCCAAAAGAAAGAAAUGAUCUCGAUACAAUAUAUAUUUAUAGAAAGUUAGCCAAAUUAGAUACCAUUUUGCUACCAUGGAAAGGACGACAUCUGUUUAUUUGUGGAAAAAUUACCCUGAUUGAAUUUUUUUGUCAUAUCCCAGUUUACCUAUUUACUUCCUUAUGGCCUACACCUAACGACUUGUUUAUUCACCUAUUUACUUCCUUAUGGCCCUGCCUACACCUAACAACUUGUUUAUUCAAUUAUAUGAGCAAAAAAAUUCCACCUAAUUUUGAAUGGCAAGCCGGAGAAAAUUCUCUAGCAGAUUAAAAAAAAAAGGUUUAAAAAUGUUAUAAUCUUCGUAAAUGAUAUCAUAAAUAGGACUGGUGGAAUUAUGUCACACAUGCAGUUAACAAAAAAAUAUGGAAAUGUCUGCUCUAUCCAAAAUUACAACCAACUGAUUGCAGCAUUGUGGAAAGGGGAGGUAAGGAACGUGACUGUUGGCCCGGCAUUAAAGACCAAAAUUGAUUAAAGAAAAUUGUGAUAAAUAAAAAGUAUAACAGUUUCAUUUAAGGACCCAAAAAAUGACAGCUGCACCAUAAAGGAUGAUAAAUAGUUGGGAGGAGAUUUUCAAUGUACUGAUUCCAUGGUACCUGGUUUAUGAACUGAUACACAAAACGACGCCGGAUUCUAAACAUAAGAGUUUUUCAAUUUAAAUUAUUAUCCACAAUUCUUGCAACCAACAUAAUGUCAUAUAUAUGGGGGAUACAACCAUCCCAGCUCUUCUGAUUUUGCUGUGAAGAGACAGAGUCAUUUGGUACUGCCCUGAUACUGCCCUGAUGUAGCUUGUUUUUGGUCGGAGGUUCAGGAAUGGCAAAAAAGAUUGCAACAUUUACCUGGAGCUAACUCUGCAAAUAGCACUACUGGAUGAUUUGAAAAGUCAUAGUCAAUUGAUCAAUAAUGUAAUAAUACUCUUAGCACAAUUUUAAAAAUGUAAUUUACAAUCUGUAGGAACUAAGAAUAUAAAGUUUCAGAGCUUUUGUGAAACAUCACAGCACAGUGGAAAUCGAUAUAUAGAUGGGAGGGGUUGAGUGUAGCUGAAGGCUGGGAUGCUAAUGUAAAAUAUAUUGUCCAUAAAUUGUAGAUAGUAUGUAUAGGUAGGAAGUAGAAGCUUAAGUAUCGUUGUCCAUUAGUUUACUUCAAUUAGGGGAGUUGUAGUAGGGUUAGGGGAUAAUAAGAAAGUUAUUAAAAAGUCCCUCAUUUUAUCCGAACCUCUAACCCCUAACGUUUAACCCCUAACCCUGACCUAUCUGUUACACUGUCCCUCCAUCUGGCCUUACUUCCUGUUAGUCCACCUCAAUCCUUCUCUCUCCCCCUAACUAUCAGCCUUACCCCUUGCACUCCUGCUUUCCUUCCCAAACGUCCAUCCUGAACCCCUGUACCUCCUGAACAAUGGUAGCAUUAUAUUGAUAACCUCUAUGUAUCUAUCCUUGUGCUCCUACACCUGACCUAACCCCUCUGUAGCAGUUUAGCUACAAUACCUUCCCUAAAUCUCAGGCACUGUACUGUAGAUAUUGCUUCUUGUGGAACACACAUUCAUUCUCAAACACCACACACACAAUAUGCACUCAUAUCUCAGGCGUUCUACUGUAGAUGACACACAUAUACACGAACGAACACACACACACACACCAUGCUCUCUCUCUCUCUCUCUCUCUCUCUCCUGGGCACUUUAACAUCUUACCUCUGUAAGGUACUUCUCCUGCCUCCCUCCAUCCUCCCAAACAAACCUCUAGUCAUACCACCCCAUAUUCCCUAAACCCUAUACCACCCAAACAAAUGACUCUCUACACCGUAUCUGUCAUGGCUACCUAGACCAUUGGAUGCCAGUAAGCUACAGUGGCCCUUGCCAACCCCCUGCCCCCGCUGUACCAUGCUGAAGCUUGAACUGUCCUCUCUGUUAUGUUUGCACAACAGCUACUGUGGUUUCCUGUUUGUUUUAGGAUGAAUCCUAUGAGCUGGCAUCGAAUGCAUUUUUUUAAAGACUAUGACAAUGAACAUUUUAAUGUUUGAGUACAUGUACUAUUGUUCAAUGCUUGCAACGUUUUUCCCUGUUUAAUUUCUAGAUCCUGGAUGAAUAUGAUUUGAUUGCUAUGUUAUUUGUAAUAUUCUCAUUCCUUGAAGGAGAGAACAUGAAACAUAAAAAAGGUGAAUGUUUGUUACGUAGAUGCCUUUGCCUGACAUGAGAAUCUUGCGUUAAGAAUAAAUUAUUCCCAAAAAGA